rnacentral:rRNA from 1 species
CCUACGGGAGGCAGCAGUAGGGAAUAUUGCUCAAUGGGGGAAACCCUGAAGCAGCAACGCCGCGUGGAGGAUGAAGGUUUUCGGAUCGUAAACUCCUUUUGUUAGAGAAGAUAAUGACGGUAUCUAACGAAUAAGCACCCGCUAACUCCGUGCCAGCAGCCGCGGUAAUACGGAGGGUGCAAGCGUUACUCGGAAUCACUGGGCGUAAAGAGCGCGUAGGCGGGAUUGCAAGUCAGAUGUGAAAUCCUAUGGCUUAACCAUAGUACGGCAUUUGAAACUGGUAUUCUAGAGUAUGGGAGAGGUAGGUGGAAUUCUAGGUGUAGGGGUAAAAUCCGUAGAGAUCAAGAGGAAUACUCAUGGCGAAGGCGACCUGCUAGAACAUAACUGACGCUGAUGCGCGAAAGCGUGGGUAGCAAACAGGAUUAGAUACCCGAGUAGUC